GGGGGGGCCCACAUAGCAACGUCCUCAUCCAUGUCAUGACUCAAAACUGGCAGGCGCCCUGCCUGAAGGUUCAGCUACCCACCUACUUCUCGUUCCCACCCUCCAUGGGGUGGCUGAUCGGGGUGUACUAGGCCUGUGUCAACACUGGCCAUCGCCAUCCUCCGAUCUAUGAUUGCUCACAGCUUCCGACCUCAAGGACUCCGGGUUGUGACUCUACUCCGACCUACGACAUACUUUACGAAUUCAGCUUGCCUGUCCACGGUCGCGUUCCCUUUGAAUACGCCAUUGUAGCAGGCGUGUAGCCCUUCUCCUAAGGGCCAGUGAUGACGUGUGAUCAUGCCGACCUUCCUCCGGACUUAUCAACAGGCAGUCUCCCUUUAUUUACCUCCCUGACGCGCUGGAUGCGAAGGAUAACUGGUUGCACUCGCUUUGGGACUUAUGCGUACCUUUCACUAUACGCAGCUGACGACAGCCGUGCAACACCUGUCUCAGUACUUCCCGAGUGCAGCACAGCUUCUCUGCUAAUUUCUCUGGCUGCCGAGAAUACGUAAGGUUCUGCGCGUUGCUUCGAAGUGAACCAGAUGCUCGACCGCUUGUGCGGGCCCGCGGCUGUUAUUUUGAGUUUGGACCUUGCCGCCGUACUCCCCAGGCGGUCCACUUAACGCGUUAGCUCCGGAAGCCACGCCUCAUGGUCACUACCUCCCAGUCGACAUCAUCUACCGCGUGUACGACCACGGCAUCUACUCCUGUUUGCUGAACACGCUUUCGCACCUCAGCGUCACUCUCUGUCCAAGUGGCCGCCUUCGCCACCGCUAUUCCUCCACAUCUCUACGCAUUUCACCGCUGCACAUGUAAUUCUACCCCCCUCUACUAGACUCUAGCUGACCCGUAUCAGAUGCAAUUCCCGGGUUAAGCCCCGUUAUUUCACAUCUGACUCAAUCAACCGCCUGCGUGCGCUUUACGCCCACUAUAUCCGAUUAACGCUUGCACCCCUCCGUAU
rnacentral:rRNA from 1 species